UCAAAUAGAACCGUCGUCGUCAGGACGUGAUGACGUGAAUCGGAACGUCUCCGUGCCGUAAGGGGGAGGGAGUAACUGGAGGCGACCCGCAUGGUGAACUAACAGCUAAUGAGCGGCGAUCCCACGCUAAGAUCAAAGCUGCAACAAAUGAAAGAAAACCAGAGGCUAUUUGGAUUUCUUGUACCCGAGACUCCUCUACUCCCCCUAUCUAAAGACACUUGCUUAUGUUUCUUUCCUCCUACAAUUCUCGUUUGGGAUACCCGCGAAAACCAAAUUGCCUGUCAUGGCGAAGGGGUGGCUAGCAUUAGCAGCUGGACACCCGGUGUGGACUUACAAGCUGUCCCCGUGUAUGCUGU